UAUUAUUCCUGAGUGCCCUGGGUCAGAUUAGGUCUUGAUUGAUUCGAGUUUGGCACCAUUUGAUCAUUAUUGAGUUUUAAAUCAAUUUAUUUCAUUUUCAUGGCAAACAUCUUUACCCUACAUUCAUCAUCAAGUUUCUCUCUACUCAUUCAGUGGAUUUGGCUGAUUCAAGGCUUUAAUUAAACCUUCCCACUCCCUCUAUCUGACCCAACAAGUUUCACAUUCAGAUCAUCUCCCAAUCUCUCUAACCAAUCUCACUAAGUUGCCUACUUGACCUUCAAAUUUCAAGUUUUGGAGUUUUGAACUUUUUCAAAGUGCCGUUUGACGAUUGAUCCGUUUCCGAUUAUUCACGCGGUUAAAGGUGCGGAUGCGGAUGAACAGAAGUGAUGACUUGGUUUUCUGUUAUGGCGGAUUUGAAUAAAGGACUUUAUAUUUUAUUUUCUUGUUGUUGUGUAAUAGUUAUAACUUAUUCGGGAUACUGGGUAUGUAAUAUUAUUAUUGUAUCGUGUUAAGUUUCUCGCGAGGUUUUCGAACUUAUAACUGUUCGUUUUCAGAAAAAAAUUCCGUGGUUCCGUGAA